UACGAAGGGGGCUAGCGUUGUUCGGAAUUACUGGGCGUAAAGCGUGCGCAGGCGGCCAUCCAAGUCAGUGGUGAAAGCCCGGAGCUCAACUCCGGAAUUGCCAUUGAAACUGUUUGGCUCGAGUACGAGAGAGGUGAGUGGAAUUCCCAGUGAUAGAGGUGAAAUUCGUAAGAUAUUGGGAAGAACACCGGGUGGCGAAGGCGGCUCACUGGCGUCGUAACUGACGCUCAUGCACGACAGCGUGGGGAGCAAACAGG
rnacentral:rRNA from 1 species